rnacentral:lncRNA from 1 species
GAUGGGCUAUGUUGGGUGCCUUGGGAUGUGUCUUCCCUGAGCUCUUAUCUCGCAAUGGUGUCAAAUUCGGCGAGGCUGUAUGGUUCAAGGCAGGAUCCCAAAUUUUUAGUGAGGGUGGGCUUGACUACUUGGGUAACCCAAGUCUAGUCCAUGCACAAAGCAUCCUUGCUAUAUGGGCUGUCCAAGUUAUCUUAAUGGGUGCUGUUGAGGGUUACCGUAUUGCUGGUGGACCUCUCGGUGAGGUGGUUGACCCACUCUACCCAGGUGGCAGCUUUGACCCCUUGGGCCUUGCCGAAGAUCCCGAGGCUUUUGCAGAGUUGAAGGUGAAAGAACUAAAAAAUGGUAGGUUAGCUAUGUUCUCUAUGUUUGGAUUUUUCGUUCAAGCCAUUGUGACUGGAAAGGGACCUAUCGAGAACCUCGCCGACCACCUUGCUGACCCGGUUAACAACAAUGCUUGGGCCUACGCCACAAACUUUGCCCCCGGAAAAUAAGCAAUAACUACACCAAAUGAGAAGUGAAUGACUUGAAUAUCGAAGUUUGAAUUUGUUAGUGUGUUAUAUUUUGUAAAACGCAUGGCAUGUUACAUCUUUUUUUCCCCUAAGUUUGUACAUAUUAAGUGAAUGAAAUGAAUGGUUUUACCGAAACAAGGGAGAGUGAAAUGACUGUGAAUGGUAUCAAGCAAUCUAUUACCAGAACAUCAAGUGUAACGAUGUCCUUUCAAAAAAAAAUAAAAAAAAAUCAAGUGUAACGAUGUUUUAAACCAGUGAAGUUUUUAUCAUAUUAACUUUUCAUAUUUUAUAAUUAUAUUUUAUUUUAAAGAGGAGCCUACACAACGGUAAAAGUUGAUUAAAAAUGUCACGAGUUCAAGUUCUGAAAAUAGUCUCUUGUGUAAAAAUAGAAUAAGACUGUGUGCAAUACACCAGAUGGUGAGACCCUUUCUCGGACUCUACGUAUGUGGUUGCCUUGUGCACCAGACUGUUUCUUUGUUUGCUACAAUUAUAUUUUAUUUUGUUAACCUUUUACAUGCCAUAUAUCUUUAGCUCAAUAUGAGAUCUUGUAAUGCCGUUUGAGCUGAAUUAUGGUUUCCCCGUAUGGAAAUCACCCAAGAUCUAAAUCAUAGCAAGUAGGAAUUUGAGAUGGACUCCAAAGUUGAUAUUGAUAUGGUUAAUUUAAAUCCUACCGAAUUGCUUUUAUUCAACAUUUCCUACAUGAGAUCGUUGCUAUUCUGAACCUCCCUUCAAGGAGAAGUUUCAUCUGUUAUAUUUAUAAAGAAACAAAUAAAUAUGUAGAUCUCCUAUGCUAAUAAGAGGCACACUACAAGAGUUGGUGUACAUUAUGUUUUUCUCAUGCUCAGAUUUUGAUGUAGACAAGUUGGCAGCGCGAAUCGAAGACGAAGUGGCGCGUAAGAAAGGUUUAGUCGGAUUGGUGCUGAUUUAGCAUCCGACGUCGGAAUAACAUGAAUUAAACCUUUUUGAAAAGCCCCGGACCUCACGAGCAAUACUCAUCGCUUUGUCAUGAUGUAGGAGUUAAUUUAAUCAUUCGAGGUCGUCUGAAGGCCCGAAAACCGCGUUUUAAUACUUCAGCAUAUUCUAGAACUUUAUAUUUUAUUUCGUUUUGUUAUUUUUCAGCAUAUACGGGUUUGUUAUUUCAUUUAGUAUUUAAACAGAACUUAUGUAGCCAAAGAGGCACUUUUCAUUCAAUAAAAAUAUUCGAGACUUUUCUCUCAAUUCUGGUGGAUUUUGGAAACUCUUAUUUGAUAGGUUUAUCGCUUACAACCUGUUGUUAUCUUUUAAGUUUAGCGUUUGCUAACCCUUGCUUCCAUUUUGCGUCAGAUUUUUGUUACUAUAUGAUGCCAAAGGUGGCUGUAUCUCUAAUAAGCUUUCGUAGUUUAAUUUCCUUUCCUAUCAAAUAAUAAAAAAUGUAACGAUCACCAAUAAACCAUGAAUGAAUAGAGCAAUUCUUGCUUGGGCACAACCACAAAUAUAAAUAAUUUAGACACACACAUAAAAAAAAACAGACACCCACACACACGCGCAUAUAUAUAUAUCAUUGAUUAUUUUCAAAAAUAUAUUAUUUUAUUGAUUUUUCUUUUAUAUGUUUUCACUUAUGUGUGUCCAAAUCAAAAUGAUAUGGGGUUAUGAUGGGUAUUUGUAUUGGCUGCAUUAUUGCUAAUACAAAUAUCCAUGUUUGUGAUGUUCGAUACUAUGUUCCAAUAUGUAUAUUAAUAAUUCUAAUAAUAUGCAAUAAAAGUAAUGUAUAUUAAAAAAUUACAUUGUACUAAUAUGUAUAUUCUAUGAUUGUUUCAUCUCCUAUUUGAUUACACAACCCAAUUAUCACAAUCUUCAUAGCAGAAAAGACAGUUUAAGUGAAUUGAGUACCAGAAGCUCGUCAUGAUCAAGAGAGCGUUGAGUGUACAUGCAAAUUAUCCACCGACAAGGUUCUUACAUUGGCAACAUAAGUUAAACUUAGGUUCUUAUGGUUUGUGAAUCAACUCCUAGACCAAUCGACAUCGACAAUUUUUUUAGUCGUUUAGAAUCAUAUAAAUUUUCAAUUUAAUUUGAUUAGUAAAAAAUAAAUAAUUGUAUGUAUAAGCAAUGACAUAUUAUUAUUUAAAUUUUAAAGCAUGCUUACCAAAUAAAUAUAAAAAAGAUCAUGCAUAUUUGUAACAACUUUCCAAAGAUACAAUCAAAUGAUGUGUUAGUCUACUGGAUAUAUUACUUUUAAGGGUUAAAUAUGUUUUUAGUCUCUAUAAAUAUACCAACUUUUCCUUUUAGUCAUUCUAAAAUUUUCGUUCAACUUUUAGUCCCUAUAAAAUUUUCAAUCACUACUUAUAGUCCCUAUUUUUAAAUUAAUUUUAGUAUUUUUUAAUGAAAUUGUGCAGAAAUGUGUAGAAUAUUGUAAAAAUAUUUCCCAAAAAAAUUAGAAUUUUUUAACGAAACAUAAAUUUAAUAUGAAUUUUUAACCAUCAAAAAUAUAAAAAUUCAUAAUAAAUUCAUGUUUUGUUGAAAAAUUCUAAAUUUUUUUAGGAGAGAUACUUAAAAUAUUAUGAAUUUUUCUGCAAACUUUUAUUCAAAAAUGUGAAUUCUACAUAUGAAUUUACUUUAAAAGAGGGACCACAAGUGAAGAUGGAAAAUUUUUGGAGGACUAAAAGUUGAAGGAAAAUUUUAGAGGGACUAAAACGAAAAGUUGGUAUAUUUAUAGGGACCAAAAACAUAUUUAACCUUACUUUUAAUAAUGACAUGGGGGAUCCCUUUCAUUUUUGUUCUAAUAAUAGUAACAAUAAUAUGUUAUAAUAGCAGAAAAAACAAAAACAAAGUAACAUUGCACCACGUUUUGACGGUAGAUUGAAAAUGCAGGUUCAAAGAGAAAUAUUGAGAAAUCACUUGAACCCCCUCACACAAGAGUGGCUUCGCCACUGAUCACAGUGGCUGUGAUUGGUUGUAGGAUAGUGAGAUGAGAUCUUAGAUCUAGAAGUUCUUAGGUUGAAAUCAAUACGGGUAGGUCCUAGGUCUUAAGUGUAAACGAGGAUUUUGCUGAGAGCUUUAGAAUAAGAACUACACUAGUGGAUUACUUUCCUAACUUGGUAGCCCCAGAUGUAGGUGAGUUGUGCCGAACUGAGUUAACAAACUCUUCUUUACUUUCUUGUCUUUUAUUUUGCUGUUUUGUUUAUGUUUACUUCUAGCACGAUGUUGGAACAUUAAACGGAACAUGUGCUUUCUGUGCAUCUCGAGUUGAAACUUCACAUAGAACAACUUCUAACUGACACGCUAAAUAUUCAGCAUCCGUUAUAUUUGCCGGGAAUUUCAAGUUAUGACCAAACAAGUCUUACUCGAAUGAAUAAGGAUCACACCAAUCAGAAAAAUAAUAUAAUAAAGACAAACAACAAUUAAGACAAAAAAAAGACAAACAACAAUAUCUUAAUAAAAUUAGAUGUUGAUAUUAUGCUAUUUGAAGGACGAGUUUGAACUUUAUUUUAGAAAAUGUGGAAGGUCCAGUAAAUAAAUAUAUCAUGAAAGGUGGAUAUAAAAUAUCUCUGUGAGCUUGAUUCUCUUGGUAGUGAUAUUAUAUAUUAUAUGCAGAGUCAUCGAACCUCGGACACCCUGGUCACUUCUCCACAUUUAAAAUGUAUGAGCUCCGGUCACUAUACUAUUUGACAAAAAAAAAUAAUGCUUGAAAAAUUUAUUAGAAUGUUUACCACUUCAGCCCACAUUAAGUUCAAUCUAGUUAACCAAAAAAAUAUAAAUAUUCUUGAAGCAUGUUAAAAUCAUGUGAUACAAAUCAAUUUGAUUAUAUCAAGAUGAUGUUGAGAUAAUUUAUAUUAACACGACUCGCCUAUUAGCAAAAAUAUUUUGGUUUCGAUUUAUACAAUCGUCCAUUUGAGAGAUGGUUCGACUCUCAAGACAAAAAGUAAGAUAGCUUGCAACGAACUUGGUAAGUAGUCAUGUAGCGCUUUCAAAUGCGGGUGGUAUCCAUUGGAGAGCCAAAUACUUUUGUUAUAGUAACAUCACUGCGGAUUUUAUUAGUCAUAUACAUGGAUUUAAUUAUUUAUCUUGUUAUUUUUAAACAUAUAAUAAGAUCAGUUUAUUUAAAUUUAUUUCUUUAUCUCAUUAUUUUCAUUUUUAUUUUACAAGACAUAUUUCACAAUGCACUAAAGCAAAAUCUCAAUAUACUUUUUCACAUUGCAUGCAUUGCAACUAAAUUUUUGCACAUGAUAAAAAAAUAGAGUGAAACUACUUGAUUAGUUAGCUAAAACAAGAGAGCAUCUAUUGAAUGUUUUAUUUUGCAUUUCUUCCCACAUCCUUUUGUGUCCAUUUUGCAUUGCUUCCAAAAAUAAACGGUAAAAUAUGGUAUAAUGACAUAAUUUUAGGAUAAAUGUUUUUUUAUCUAUUGAGCCAAAGAAAAAAGAAAUAUUCUUUGUCCUUUUGAUGCAACACAAAUUAACUAGCAAUGGUACCAAUAUGCACUAUGGUCCCUCUUCUUCAACUCAUGAUUUUAUACCGUUAUGUAUGAAUUUGUACAUUAUUGAUUAGCCUAUCCAGAAAUCUAAUUUGACAAAUUUUAUUGGAUGGAAGACGUAUUUAAUGAUAUUAUCAUUACAUACUUUGGAUAUUUGAUAUAUUUUAUAAUGAAAGAAAAUAAUAUCUUAAAGAUAUGUGGUUUGAGAAAUAAAGGAAAUACUACAAACCAAUAGAAACUUAGAUAUGGAUUUCACAAGAUAUAGACCUUUAGUUUUACUCGAUGAUAACCAAAUAUAAAUAGCCAUAUAACCAAAUUUGAUAACCAUUCUCAACAUUGCCAAUUGAGCUUCAUUACUUUACUUAGUAAGCAAAAAAAUACCACAAUGGCUGCUUCAACAAUGUCCCUCUCUUCUUCAUCAUUUGUCGGGAAGGCAAUCAAACUUUCCCCAUCCACUCAAGACAUUGGGGUGGGAAGAGUCACAAUGAGGAAAACAACCACCAAGAAGUCCGUUCCGUCUGGAAGCCCAUGGUACGGUCCAGACCGUGUGAAGUACUUGGGCCCAUUCUCCGGUGAAGCCCCAUCCUACCUCACAGGUGAAUUCCCUGGUGACUACGGUUGGGACACUGCUGGACUUUCUGCUGACCCAGAGACAUUUGCCAAGAACCGUGAACUCGAGGUCAUCCACAGUAGAUGGGCUAUGUUGGGUGCCUUGGGAUGUGUCUUCCCUGAGCUCUUAUCUCGCAAUGGUGUACAAUUCGGUGAGGCCGUGUGGUUCAAGGCAGGAUCCCAAAUCUUUAGUGAGGGUGGACUUGACUACUUGGGUAACCCAAGUCUAGUCCAUGCACAAAGCAUCCUUGCUAUAUGGGCAGUCCAAGUUAUCUUAAUGGGCGCCGUGGAGGGUUACCGUAUUGCUGGUGGACCUCUAGGCGAGGUAGUCGAUCCACUCUACCCAGGUGGCAGCUUUGACCCCUUGGGCCUUGCCGAAGAUCCCGAGGCUUUUGCAGAGUUGAAGGUGAAAGAACUAAAAAAUGGUAGGUUAGCUAUGUUCUCUAUGUUUGGAUUCUUCGUUCAGGCCAUUGUCACCGGAAAGGGACCUAUUGAGAACCUCGCUGACCACCUUGCUGAUCCAGUUAACAACAAUGCUUGGGCCUAUGCCACAAACUUUGCCCCUGGAAAAUAAGCAAUAACUACACCAAAUGAGAAGUAGUGAAUGACUUGAAUAUCAAACUUUGAAUUUGUUAUUGUGUUAUAUGUUGAAAAACGUAUGGCGCAUUACAUCUUUUUUUCUUCUUCCUAAGUUUGUACAAAUUAUGUGAAUGAAAUGAAUGGUUUUACUAAAACAAGGGAGAGAGCAAUGAAUGUGAACGGUGAUCAUGCAAGCUAUAUAUCAACACUUUGUCAAUUAUAAUGAAUUACCAAACUAUUGUGUAAUUGAUUCUUCAUAAAUUAAUUAAGUGAAUGAAAUGAAUGGUUUCUUUGUUUUUUGUUUCCCUCACGUUGUCUUCUAAAACCACUUAUGAAUUCGAAACUAACAAAAUAAAGUAACAUCAUAUUGUGGGUUCCAUGUUUGGCAAUCACCCAAGAUAUAAAUCUUAAUAAGGUGGAAUUUGCAAUGCACUCCAUAGUUGGUGUUGAUAUAGUGCCAGAGGUGGUUGUACGAUCUAAGCUGAUUUCAUAGUUUAAUUUCUUUUCCUAUAAAAAAAUUGUAAGGAUCACCAGUAACCCAUGAAUGAAUUGAGCAACACUCUUUGGUCACAUACACAAAAAACUUGACCUUCAAUGACAAUAAAGUUUUGUAGGUAAAAGUCCUUAUACCGUAGGUAUAGCCCACAUACCUAAAACUUUACUUUUAAUGACAGUAAAUUUCUUUAGGUUAAAAUCUUUUUACCGUAUGUAUAGUCCCAAGUACCUAUACCCACAUAUUUUUAAGUUAAAAUUAAGCUCUAUUCCUAUAUCUAAAAUCCUAGGUAAAACAAAAGGUUUUGUUUAACAAGUAAAAUCUGUCACUUUUAGACUAUAGCGACGACCAAAAAUAUGUGGGUUUAAGUACUUGCGGUUAUACCUACGAUAAAAGGACAAUUAACUACGAAAAUUACCGUUACUAAAAUUACUAUCACUUUAGACUUAGUUUAUUUUCUUUUUUCUUUUUUCCCUUAUGUGUGCCCAAAUACAAAUGAUCAGGAUUUCGACCAAACAAGUUUUACUCGAAUGGUUAAGGAUCACCAAUCUUCGAACACAAAAUAUAAUAAUAAAGUCAAACAACAAUAUUUUGAUAUGCUAUUUGAAGGGCGAGUUUGAAUUUUAUGUUAGAAAAUGUGAAAGGUCCAUUAAAAAUGGAAAUCAUGGAAGGUAUCUAUAAAUAAAUGCUUGAAAAAUCUAUUAGAAUGUUCACCGGUUCAACCCAAAUAACUUUUAAUCUAUUUAACAAAAUAAAAUAUAAAUAUUCUUAAAGCGAGUUAAAAUUAGGUGAUACAAAUCUAUUUUAAAAUGUCAAGAUGAUGUUGAGUGAAUUAAUAUUAACUGACUCGCUGACUCGCUUUAAGAAUAUCUCGGUUUUGAUUUAUAAAAUCAUCCAUAUAAGGGAUAGUUCAACUCUUUAGACAAAAAAUAAGAUAGCUUGCAACGAACUUGGUAAUUAGUCUCAUAGCGCAUCCAAAUGUCGUAACUCAUAAGGUCACCAAGAUACAUGCAAAGUUCAUUGGAGAGCCAAAUACUUUUGUGAUAGUGAAUUGGCAAAAAAUUCAAGUCUAAUGUAUCAGUAUAUACUUAUUUUUAAAUCUCAAGAUAAUUUUUCACAUUGCAAAACAAAGAGCGUGGAUUAGAUGGUUAUAGCUUCCAACAUCCUUGUGUGUCUAUUUUGCAUUGCUUCCAAACAUAAACUGUAGAAUAUGGUAUAAUGACAUUUAGUAAAAAAAAUGGUAUAAUGACAUAAAAUUAGGAUAAAUGUGUUUUUAUCCAUGGAGCCAAAAAAGAAAUAUUCUUUGUCCAUUUGAUGCAACACACACCACAAAUUAACUAGCAAUGGGACCAAUAUGUAAUGUGGUCCCUCUUCUACAACAUAUAAUUAUAUACCGUUAUAUGCAUGAAUUUGUACGUUAUUGAUCAUCCUAUCCAGAAAUUACAAUUGGCAAACUCUUAUUGGAUGAAAAAGAUAUUUAAUGAUAUUAUUAUAUAUUAUUGUGGAUAUUUGAUAUGUUUGGGAAAGGAAGAAAAUAAUUUUUAAAGUGAUAUGUGGUUUGAGAAGCAACUGUAAUGCUCAAAACCAAUAGAAAGUUAGAUACAUAGAUUUCAUAAGAUAUGGACAUUUAAUUUAUCUUGUUGAAAACAACAUAUAAAUAACACCAUACCAUAACACAUUCAAUAUAGCCAUCAUCAACAUUGCCAAUAAAGAUAUUUAUUUGUUUACUUAGUAAACACUAAAAUUCUACCAUGGCUGCUUCAACAAUGUCUCUCUCUUCUUCAUCAUUGGUUGGGAAGGCAAUCAAGCUUUCCCCCUCUACUCCAGACCUUGUCAUGGGAAGAAUUACCAUGAGGAAAACAACCACCAAGAAGAAUGUUCCUUCUGGAAGCCCAUGGUACGGUCCAGACCGUGUCAAGUACUUGGGUCCAUUCUCUGGUGAAGCUCCAUCUUACCUUACUGGUGAAUUUCCCGGUGACUAUGGAUGGGACACUGCUGGACUUUCUGCUGAUCCGGAGACCUUCUCUAAAAACCGUGAACUAGAGGUCAUUCACAGUAGGUGGGCUAUGUUGGGAGCCUUGGGAUGUGUCUUCCCUGAGCUCUUGGCUCGCAAUGGUGUUAAAUUCGGUGAGGCCGUGUGGUUCAAGGCAGGAUCUCAAAUCUUUAGUGAGGGUGGACUUGACUACUUGGGAAAUCCAAGUCUAGUCCAUGCACAAAGCAUCCUUGCUAUAUGGGCUGUCCAAGUUAUCUUAAUGGGUGCUGUUGAGGGUUAUCGUAUUGCAGGUGGACCUCUCGGUGAGGUUGUCGACCCACUCUACCCAGGUGGUAGUUUUGACCCAUUAGGCCUAGCUGAUGACCCAGAGGCUUUUGCAGAGUUAAAGGUGAAAGAACUCAAAAAUGGAAGGUUAGCUAUGUUUUCCAUGUUUGGAUUCUUUGUUCAAGCUAUUGUAACCGGAAAAGGACCUAUAGAGAAUCUUGCUGACCACCUUGCUGACCCAGUUAACAACAAUGCAUGGGCCUAUGCCACAAACUUUGCCCCUGGAAAGUGAGCCAAAACUACACCAUACCAAUGAGAAGUGAUUUCUGAAGCAAACAAUGAGAAUUCAUAUGCUUUGAGAAACAUAUGGUGCAUUU